rnacentral:rRNA from 1 species
GAUGAACGCUGGCGGUAUGCUUAACACAUGCAAGUCGAACGGACUCUUCGGAGUUAGUGGCGGACGGGUGAGUAACGCGUGAGAAUCUGGCUUUGGGUUCGGGACAACCACUGGAAACGGUGGCUAAUACCGGAUGUGCCGAGAGGUAAAAGAGAAAUUGCCUGAAGAUGAGCUCGCGUCUGAUUAGCUAGUUGGUGAGGUAAAGGCUCACCAAGGCAGCGAUCAGUAGCUAGUCUGAGAGGAUGACCAGCCACACUGGGACUGAGACACGGCCCAGACUCCUACGGGAGGCAGCAGUGGGGAAUUGUCCGCAAUGGGCGAAAGCCUGACGGAGCAAUACCGCGUGAGGGAAGAAGGCUCUUGGGUUGUAAACCUCUUUUCUUAGGGAAGAACAAAAUGACGGUACCUAAGGAAUCAGCAUCGGCUAACUCCGUG